rnacentral:rRNA from 1 species
GACUAGCAGGAUUCCCCUAGUAACUGCGAGUGAAGCGGGAAAAGCUCAAAUUUAAAAUCUGGUGGCCCUUCCGCCACCCGAGUUGUAAUUUAGAGAAGCGUCUUCCGCGCUGGACCAUGCAUAAGUCUCCUGGAAUGGAGCGUCAUAGAGGGUGAGAAUCCCGUCUUUGGCAUGGACCCCCAGGGCUUCUGCGAUGCGCUCUCGAAGAGUCGAGUUGUUUGGGAAUGCAGCUCAAAAUGGGUGGUGAACUCCAUCUAAAGCUAAAUAUUGGCGAGAGACCGAUAGCGAACAAGUACCGUGAGGGAAAGAUGAAAAGCACUUUGGAAAGAGAGUGAAACAGUACGUGAAAUUGUUGAAAGGGAAACGCUUGAAGUCAGUCGCGUCGACCGAGACUCAGCCUUGCCUCGGCUUGGUGUACUUCUCGGCUGACGGGUCAGCAUCGAUUUUGACCCUUGGAUAAUGGUGGGGGGAAAGGUGGCACCUUUACAGGUGUGUUAUAGUCCUCUAUCGGAUGUGGGGGUCGGGAUCGAGGAACUCAGCAUGCGCCUCUCGGCGUCGGGGCCUUGGCCCACGUUACAUGCUUAGGAUGCUGGCGUAAUGGCUUUAAACGACCCGUCUUGAAACACGGACCAAGGAGUCUAACAUACCCGCGAGUGUUCGGGUGGAAAACUCGUGCGCGCAAUGAAAGUAAAAGUUGGGACCUCUGUCGUGGAGGGCACCGACGCCCGGACCAGACCUUCUGUGACGGCUCUGCGGUAGAGCGUGUAUGUUGGGACCCGAAAGAUGGUGAACUAUGCCUGAAUAGGGUGAAGCCAGAGGAAACUCUGGUGGAGGCUCGUAGCGAUUCUGACGUGCAGAUCGAUCGUCAAAUUUGGGUAUAGGGGGCGAAAGACUAAUCGAACCAUCUAAGAAACUGGUUCCUGCCGAAGUUUUCCCUCGAG